AGGGUCCCGCCGCCGCCGUCACAUUUCUCCCCCGCCCAGCCGCUCGAGUGUUGUCCGCGCCGCAGGAGGAGUGGACUGCGAGCACGCUUGUCAUGUCAUCCCCACGCGCCCCACGCAGCUGACCCCCGCCGCCGCCUCCCACGCAGAACGCCGCCGCCGAGCUCCCACGUACACCGUCGCCGCCGGCCAGCGCUCUGCCCCGCCCUCUGUCGAGCUCGCUCGGCCCUCUGCCACCUCACCCCUCCCUCGCCUGCUCCGGCCCGGCCCUCCUCGCGCGCCCGCACGCUCGCGGCCGGCCCGCCAUUGCCGCCCCUGCCCUCCACCGCCGCCCCCAGGCCUCGAGCCGCCGCGUUGUUUGCUCCCUCCCGCUUGCCCCCCCCCCCCCCCACCCGACCAGCUCGACGGCAUGGCUGAGCACCACCGCCGGGUCGUCCCACGGUAGGCGCGGGCGGCCCGCUGCCUGGCCGACCACCUCCAGCCCGAUCCCAUCCUACAGCCCGAGCGGAUGAGGAGAUAGGUUUUCUCUUCUAAAUUGUGAUGAAUGACUACCAAAUUUCCUGCUGUUUCCGAUAUGGUGAUUUAAUUGAUGAAUCCGUAGCUUCAGCAGAAUGCAACAGAGCAACCAUGGGUGGUGUAGGCGCGCACUGUUUCUUGAUGCCAUUGAUUGGCCAAGGUGAAUCUAUCUUCCCCAUCUGAAGAGGGCUGCAUAUGUAAAUGGUGUGUGUUAAAAAAAGAUUAAAUUUUCAGUAACAGAGGAAGUAGAAAUACACAUAUCAUCAUUCAACGAUGCAGGCCAACGCCCCAACGUACCCAGCUCGGUCGUCGUCGAUGCCCCUCACCUCCAUAGUGGACGCCGACCGUCCUAGCGCUGGCCGCUGCCGCCUACCGUACCCAGCUCGCCCUGCCUCCAAGUCGCCGGCCUCCAUGACGCUGUGUUCCCGGAUGCCAUGUUCCAGGAAGAAGAUUCCCUUCCCGCAGCGAGGACGCGGGCGCCCCUCACCCAGCUCGACGGCGUACUUCUCCUCCAAGGCGGUGGGCUACCAUCUCUGCAGACAGAAGCUUGCUAGAUGUUCUCCGGUCAUGCAGCCAUUCAGGAGAAGCAAAACGGUGGAGACUGGAGACUGACGUCAUCAACAUCGGUAUGAAAGCUUACAUAUAUUGAUGAAGGAAUAUAUGGUACAAGUCUCGGAAUGUGGUGAAGCACUUCUUAUGCAUCAUAACAUGUUGUUUCAGAGAGAUUUGAUGUGGUGGUGGACAACAUGAAGAGGCGUGACGAAAUGAAUGACAGUAAGAAGGAUGGCGUGCUACUGGACGCGUUCUUCAUAAUCGUGCAUCUCGACCUUGUCUGAUGCUUUCCGUCCUGUUGUGUUUGAUGCAGGUUUUUUCUCAUAUUAUUGCUCCAGUAAUUAAAUUUGUUUGGUAGAAACUUCACAAGUAACAUUGUAGACAUUAUCCUUUUCUCGUCUUUGAUUGAGUAACUAUGAAUAUAAACAUUCUAUGUACACAUGUUAUUAAAAUGCUGGAAUAUUCAUGUGCAUUAUGCUUA